rnacentral:rRNA from 1 species
AUUGAACGCUGGCGGCAGGCCUAACACAUGCAAGUCGAGCGGAUGAAGGGAGCUUGCUCCUGGAUUCAGCGGCGGACGGGUGAGUAAUGCCUAGGAAUCUGCCUGGUAGUGGGGGAUAACGUCCGGAAACGGGCGCUAAUACCGCAUACGUCCUGAGGGAGAAAGUGGGGGAUCUUCGGACCUCACGCUAUCAGAUGAGCCUAGGUCGGAUUAGCUAGUUGGUGGGGUAAAGGCCUACCAAGGCGACGAUCCGCAACUGGUCUGAGAGGAUGAUCAGUCACACUGGAACUGAGACACGGUCCAGACUCCUACGGGAGGCAGCAGUGGGGAAUAUUGGACAAUGGGCGAAGGCCUGAUCCAGCCAUGCCGCGUGUGUGAAGAAGGUCUUCGGAUUGUAAAGCACUUUAAGUUGGGAGGAAGGGCAGUAAGUUAAUACCUUGCUGUUUUGACGUUACCAACAGAAUAAGCACCGGCUAACUUCGUG